rnacentral:rRNA from 1 species
AUUGAACGCUGGCGGCAUGCUUUACACAUGCAAGUCGAACGGACCUAGGGGCUUGCUCCUAGGUUAGUGGCGAACGGGUGAGUAAUGCAUCGGAACGUACCGUGUAAUGGGGGAUAACGCAGCGAAAGUUGUGCUAAUACCGCAUACGAUCUACGGAUGAAAGCAGGGGAUCGCAAGACCUUGCGUUAUACGAGCGGCCGAUGUCGGAUUAGCUAGUUGGUAGGGUAAAGGCCUACCAAGGCAACGAUCCGUAGCGGGUCUGAGAGGAUGAUCCGCCACACUGGGACUGAGACACGGCCCAGACUCCUACGGGAGGCAGCAGUGGGGAAUUUUGGACAAUGGGCGCAAGCCUGAUCCAGCCAUGCCGCGUGAGUGAAGAAGGCCUC